rnacentral:rRNA from 1 species
AUUGAACGCUGGCGGCAGGCCUAACACAUGCAAGUCGAGCGGGGUUUUCGGACCUAGCGGCGGACGGGUGAGUAAUGCGUAGGAAGCUACCCGAUAGAGGGGGAUACCAGUUGGAAACGACUGUUAAUACCGCAUAAUGUCUACGGACCAAAGUGUGGGACCUUCGGGCCACAUGCUAUCGGAUGCGCCUACGUGGGAUUAGCUAGUUGGUGGGGUAAUGGCUCACCAAGGCGGCGAUCCCUGGCUGGUUUGAGAGGAUGAUCAGCCACACUGGAACUGAGACACGGUCCAGACUCCUACGGGAGGCAGCAGUGGGGAAUAUUGGACAAUGGGCGCAAGCCUGAUCCAGCCAUGCCGCGUGUGUGAAGAAGGCCUUCGGGUUGUAAAGCACUUUCAGUAGGGAGGAAGGGUGUUGUGUUAAUAGCACAGCAUUUUGACGUUACCUACAGAAGAAGCACCGGCUAACUCUGUGCCAGCAGCCGCCGCCGUAA